rnacentral:rRNA from 1 species
GGGUUGUGAGGUUAAGCGACUAAGCGUACACGGUGGAUGCCCUGGCAGUCAGAGGCGAUGAAGGACGUGCUAAUCUGCGAUAAGCGUCGGUAAGGUGAUAUGAACCGUUAUAACCGGCGAUUUCCGAAUGGGGAAACCCAGUGUGAUUCGUCACACUAUCAUUAACUGAAUCCAUAGGUUAAUGAGGCGAACCGGGGGAACUGAAACAUCUAAGUACCCCGAGGAAAAGAAAUCAACCGAGAUUCCCCCAGUAGCGGCGAGCGAACGGGGAGCAGCCCAGAGCCUGAAUCAGUGUGUGUGUUAGUGGAAGCGUCUGGAAAGGCGCGCGAUACAGGGUGACAGCCCCGUACACAAAAAUGCACAUGCUGUGAGCUCGAUGAGUAGGGCGGGACACGUGGUAUCCUGUCUGAAUAUGGGGGGACCAUCCUCCAAGGCUAAAUACUCCUGACUGACCGAUAGUGAACCAGUACCGUGAGGGAAAGGCGAAAAGAACCCCGGCGAGGGGAGUGAAAAAGAACCUGAAACCGUGUACGUACAAGCAGUGGGAGCACGCUUAGGCGUGUGACUGCGUACCUUUUGUAUAAUGGGUCAGCGACUUAUAUUCUGUAGCAAGGUUAACCGAAUAGGGGAGCCGAAGGGAAACCGAGUCUUAACUGGGCGUUAAGUUGCAGGGUAUAGACCCGAAACCCGGUGAUCUAGCCAUGGGCAGGUUGAAGGUUGGGUAACACUAACUGGAGGACCGAACCGACUAAUGUUGAAAAAUUAGCGGAUGACUUGUGGCUGGGGGUGAAAGGCCAAUCAAACCGGGAGAUAGCUGGUUCUCCCCGAAAGCUAUUUAGGUAGCGCCUCGUGAAUUCAUCUCCGGGGGUAGAGCACUGUUUCGGCAAGGGGGUCAUCCCGACUUACCAACCCGAUGCAAACUGCGAAUACCGGAGAAUGUUAUCACGGGAGACACACGGCGGGUGCUAACGUCCGUCGUGAAGAGGGAAACAACCCAGACCGCCAGCUAAGGUCCCAAAGUCAUGGUUAAGUGGGAAACGAUGUGGGAAGGCCCAGACAGCCAGGAUGUUGGCUUAGAAGCAGCCAUCAUUUAAAGAAAGCGUAAUAGCUCACUGGUCGAGUCGGCCUGCGCGGAAGAUGUAACGGGGCUAAACCAUGCACCGAAGCUGCGGCAGCGACGCUUAUGCGUUGUUGGGUAGGGGAGCGUUCUGUAAGCCUGUGAAGGUGUACUGUGAGGUAUGCUGGAGGUAUCAGAAGUGCGAAUGCUGACAUAAGUAACGAUAAAGCGGGUGAAAAGCCCGCUCGCCGGAAGACCAAGGGUUCCUGUCCAACGUUAAUCGGGGCAGGGUGAGUCGACCCCUAAGGCGAGGCCGAAAGGCGUAGUCGAUGGGAAACAGGUUAAUAUUCCUGUACUUGGUGUUACUGCGAAGGGGGGACGGAGAAGGCUAUGUUGGCCGGGCGACGGUUGUCCCGGUUUAAGCGUGUAGGCUGGUUUUCCAGGCAAAUCCGGAAAAUCAAGGCUGAGGCGUGAUGACGAGGCACUACGGUGCUGAAGCAACAAAUGCCCUGCUUCCAGGAAAAGCCUCUAAGCAUCAGGUAACAUCAAAUCGUACCCCAAACCGACACAGGUGGUCAGGUAGAGAAUACCAAGGCGCUUGAGAGAACUCGGGUGAAGGAACUAGGCAAAAUGGUGCCGUAACUUCGGGAGAAGGCACGCUGAUAUGUAGGUGAAGUCCCUCGCGGAUGGAGCUGAAAUCAGUCGAAGAUACCAGCUGGCUGCAACUGUUUAUUAAAAACACAGCACUGUGCAAACACGAAAGUGGACGUAUACGGUGUGACGCCUGCCCGGUGCCGGAAGGUUAAUUGAUGGGGUCAGCGCAAGCGAAGCUCUUGAUCGAAGCCCCGGUAAACGGCGGCCGUAACUAUAACGGUCCUAAGGUAGCGAAAUUCCUUGUCGGGUAAGUUCCGACCUGCACGAAUGGCGUAAUGAUGGCCAGGCUGUCUCCACCCGAGACUCAGUGAAAUUGAACUCGCUGUGAAGAUGCAGUGUACCCGCGGCAAGACGGAAAGACCCCGUGAACCUUUACUAUAGCUUGACACUGAACAUUGAGCCUUGAUGUGUAGGAUAGGUGGGAGGCUUUGAAGUGUGGACGCCAGUCUGCAUGGAGCCGACCUUGAAAUACCACCCUUUAAUGUUUGAUGUUCUAACGUUGACCCGUAAUCCGGGUUGCGGACAGUGUCUGGUGGGUAGUUUGACUGGGGCGGUCUCCUCCUAAAGAGUAACGGAGGAGCACGAAGGUUGGCUAAUCCUGGUCGGACAUCAGGAGGUUAGUGCAAUGGCAUAAGCCAGCUUGACUGCGAGCGUGACGGCGCGAGCAGGUGCGAAAGCAGGUCAUAGUGAUCCGGUGGUUCUGAAUGGAAGGGCCAUCGCUCAACGGAUAAAAGGUACUCCGGGGAUAACAGGCUGAUACCGCCCAAGAGUUCAUAUCGACGGCGGUGUUUGGCACCUCGAUGUCGGCUCAUCACAUCCUGGGGCUGAAGUAGGUCCCAAGGGUAUGGCUGUUCGCCAUUUAAAGUGGUACGCGAGCUGGGUUUAGAACGUCGUGAGACAGUUCGGUCCCUAUCUGCCGUGGGCGCUGGAGAACUGAGGGGGGCUGCUCCUAGUACGAGAGGACCGGAGUGGACGCAUCACUGGUGUUCGGGUUGUCAUGCCAAUGGCACUGCCCGGUAGCUAAAUGCGGAAGAGAUAAGUGCUGAAAGCAUCUAAGCACGAAACUUGCCCCGAGAUGAGUUCUCCCUGACCCUUUAAGGGUCCUGAAGGAACGUUGAAGACGACGACGUUGAUAGGCCGGGUGUGUAAGCGCAGCGAUGCGUUGAGCUAACCGGUACUAAUGAACCGUGAGGCUUAACCUUACAACGCCGAAGGUGUUU